rnacentral:rRNA from 1 species
UACGAAGGGGGCUAGCGUUGCUCGGAAUCACUGGGCGUAAAGCGCACGUAGGCGGCUUUCUAAGUCGGGGGUGAAAUCCUGGAGCUCAACUCCAGAACUGCCUUUGAUACUGGAAAGCUUGAGUUCGGGAGAGGUGAGUGGAACUGCGAGUGUAGAGGUGAAAUUCGUAGAUAUUCGCAAGAACACCAGUGGCGAAGGCGGCUCACUGGCCCGGUACUGACGCUGAGGUGCGAAAGCGUGGGGAGCAAACAGG